rnacentral:rRNA from 1 species
AUUGAACGCUGGCGGCAGGCCUAGCACAUGCAAGUCGAGCGGAUGAAGGGAGCUUGCUCCUGGAUUCAGCGGCGGACGGGUGAGUAAUGCCUAGGAAUCUGCCUGGUAGUGGGGGAUAACGUCCGGAAACGGGCGCUAAUACCGCAUACGUCCUGAGGGAGAAAGUGGGGGAUCUUCGGACCUCACGCUAUCAGAUGAGCCUAGGUCGGAUUAGCUAGUUGGUGGGGUAAAGGCCUACCAAGGCGACGAUCCGUAACUGGUCUGAGAGGAUGAUCAGUCACACUGGAACUGAGACACGGUCCAGACUCCUACGGGAGGCAGCAGUGGGGAAUAUUGGACAAUGGGUGAAAGCCUGAUCCAGCCAUGCCGCGUGUGUGAAGAAGGUCUUCGGAUUGUAAAGCACUUUAAGUUGGGAGGAAGGGCAGUAAGUUAAUACCUUGCUGUUUUGACGUUACCAACAGAAUAAGCACCGGCUAACUUCGUG